GCCGAAGUGGCGGAAUUGGCAGACGCGCACGUUUCAGGUACGUGUGAGCGCAAGCUCAUGGAGGUUCAAGUCCUCUCUUCGGCA
rnacentral:tRNA from 1 species